rnacentral:rRNA from 1 species
UACGUAGGGUGCGAGCGUUAAUCGGAAUUACUGGGCGUAAAGUGUGCGCAGGCGGCCGAGCAAGUCGAGUGUGAAACGCCCGAGCUUAACUUGGGAACUGCGCUCGAAACUACUUGGCUAGAGUGUGGCAGAGGGAGGUGGAAUUCCACGUGUAGCGGUGAAAUGCGUAGAGAUGUGGAGGAACACCGAUGGCGAAGGCAGCCUCCUGGGCCAACACUGACGCUCAUGCACGAAAGCGUGGGGAGCAAACAGG